rnacentral:rRNA from 1 species
UACAGAGGGGGCAAGCGUUGUUCGGAAUUACUGGGCGUAAAGGGCGCGUAGGCGGCCCGUUAAGUCGAACGUGAAAUCCCCGGGCUCAACCCGGGAACUGCGUCCGAUACUGGCAGGCUUGAAUCCGGGAGAGGGAUGCGGAAUUCCAGGUGUAGCGGUGAAAUGCGUAGAUAUCGGGAGGAACACCAGUAGCGAAGGCGGCUCGCUGGGCCACUCCUGACGCUGAGACGCGAAAGCAUGGGGAGCGAACAGG